CCCUAAGGGAUAGGCGAAGGCCGUUCUGAAGCGGGGUGAUGUUCGCGUCGCCCCGGCGGACCGAAAGGGAAUCGGGUUAAUAUUCCCGAACCUCGACGCGGAGAUUGGCGCUCCGGCUCCUAGUGCGGCAACGCAAACGAACUCGGAAACGCCGACGUGGGUCCCGGGAAGAGUUCUCUUUUCUUGGUAAGGGGCGGCGACCCUGGAAUCGGUUCGCCCGGAGAUAGGGACAUGGGCCCCGUAAAGCAGCACGUCUCUUGUGCUGUCCGGUGAGCUCGCGUCGGCCCUUGAAAAUCCGAGGGAGACGGUGUAAUUUUCGUGCGAGGUCGUACCCAUAUCCGCAGCAGGUCUCCAAGGUGAACAGCCUCUGGCCGAUAGAACAAUGUAGGUAAGGGAAGUCGGCAAACUAGAUCCGUAACUUCGGGAAAAGGAUUGGCUCUAGGGGCUGGGUCGGUCGGGCUGAGGUACGAAGCGGGGCGCGGCGCUGUACCGGACUGGGCGAACGACGGCCUCCCUCGCGGGGGGCUGGCGUGAGCCUGGACCUGUGUCGGCGUCUUCCCGUGGAAUGCCGCAGCUAACGCGGGCCUCGCGGCCCGCUUCGGCCGGCGUCGAACAGCCGACUUAGAACUGGUACGGACCGGGGGAAUCCGACUGUUUAAUUAAAACAAAGCUUUGCGAUGGCCGUCAGCCGGU
rnacentral:ncRNA from 1 species